UGGGGAAUAUUGCACAAUGGGCGCAAGCCUGAUGCAGCCAUGCCGCGUGUAUGAAGAAGGCCUUCGGGUUGUAAAGUACUUUCAGCGGGGAGGAAGGCGAUAAGGUUAAUAACCUUGUCGAUUGACGUUACCCGCAGAAGAAGCACCGGCUAACUCCGUGCCAGCAGCCGCGGUAAUACGGAGGGUGCAAGCGUUAAUCGGAAUUACUGGGCGUAAAGCGCACGCAGGCGGUCUGUCAAGUCGGAUGUGAAAUCCCCGGGCUCAACCUGGGAACUGCAUUCGAAACUGGCAGGUUAGAGUCUUGUAGAGGGGGGUAGAAUUCCAGGUGUAGCGGUGAAAUGCGUAGAGAUCUGGAGGAAUACCGGUGGCGAAGGCGGCCCCCUGGACAAAGACUGACGCUCAGGUGCGAAAGCGUGGGGAGCAAACA
rnacentral:rRNA from 1 species